UGAGAAUGCCGGAAUGAGUAGCGAGAAUUAUGUGAGAAUCAUAAUGGCCGAAAGCCUCAGGUUUUUGAAGGAAGGUUCGUCCGCUUCAAGUUAGCCGGGAGCUAAGGCGAGGCCGAAAGGCGUAGCCGAUGCACAUACGGUAGACAAUCCGUAGCCACCGAAGUAUUUAAGAUAAGGGACACUUGCAAAGGGUAUGACCCGGGCGAUGGUAGCCCCGGGCGUAAGGGAGCGAUUUAAUCGCGAAGCAUACUUAGCGCAAGGCGAGAAAAGCUUAUUGGUAUAUACCAGGUGCCCGUACCGCAAACCGACACAGGUAGGUAGGAGGAGAACUCUAAGGCCAACGGGAGAAGAGUUGUUAAGGAACUCGGCAAAUUGACCCCGUAACUUCGGGAAAAGGGGUGCUCCGGAAACGGAGCCGCAGUGAAUAGGCCCAGGCAACUGUUUAUCAAAAACACAGGUCUCUGCUAAAUCGAAAGAUGAAGUAUAGGGGCUGACGCCUGCCCGGUGCUGGAAGGUUAAGAUGAGAUGUGCAAGCAUUGAUUUGAAGCCCCAGUAAACGGCGGCCGUAACUAUAACGGUCCUAAGGUAGCGAAAUUCCUUGUCGGGUAAGUUCCGACCCGCACGAAUGGCGUAAUGAUCUGGGCACUGUCUCAACAGCUCACCCGGCGAAAUUGUAGUACCGGUGAAGAUGCCGGUUACCCGCGACAAGACGGAAAGACCCCAUGGAGCUUUACUGUAACCUGAUAUUGGGUUUCGAUACUUUAUGUACAGGAUAGGUGGGAGGCAAAGAAGCAUUGGCGUCAGCCGGUGUGGAGCCGCCCUUGGGAUACCACCCUUAAAGUAUUGGAAUUCUAACCUGCAGCCGUGAAUCCGGUUGGGGGACAUUGUCAGGCGGGCAGUUUGACUGGGGCGGUCGCCUCCGAAAGAGUAACGGAGGCGCUCAAAGGUUCGCUCAGCAUGGACGGAAACCAUGCUUUUGAGUGUAAACGCAAAAGCGAGCCUAACUGCGAGACUGACGGGUCGAGCAGUAACGAAAGUUGGAGUUAGUGAUCCGGCGGUAUGUGAGUGGAAAUGCCGUCGCUCAACGGAUAAAAGCUACCCUGGGGAUAACAGGCUGAUCU
rnacentral:rRNA from 1 species